AAGAAAGGAAAGAAAAGAGAAAAGAAAAGAGGGGAGGGGAGGGGAGAGGAGAGGAGCACAGAGAAAUAUUUAAAGUCAGAUUUGCAAACAUCCCAGCAGGGGAGAGCCCUUUUUUCUCCCAUCCAAUGGAGCUCCCAUCGCUCUGAUUGGACACGGACUCCCUGGAGGCAGCUCCCAAGAGCAGAUGACUCAGAAGUUCCUAGGAAGUCAUCAAACCAGAUGACACAGAACUCAAACGACAUUUCACUUCUUUUUGUAUGAGACAAGGUCUCACUCUGUCGCCAAGGCUGGAGUGCAGUGGGGCGAUCCUGGCUCACUGCAACCUCCACCUCUGUCCUGGCCACCUCAGGGCGCCCUGAGAGGACCAGGACAUGCGGCUGCAGUGGCUGCUCUUUUGGCUCCUCGUGCUGGGGUUUCCCAGCCAUCAGUCCAGCCACAUGAGUAGACAGUGAACCCGCGGGGUUCCUUCCUUUUCAUUGGACUGUCAUGGGGUGUGAAAUGACACAGCUCAUGCCUGUAGUCCCAGCUACUUGAGAGGCUGAGGUGGGACGAUCGCUUGGGCCCAGGAGGUGGAGGUUGCAAUGCGGAGUCCCCAGGAGUGACAUGACCAGGAUGUGAAUGAGGACUCUCUUGUCCUUUGUUCUGUAAAAUGUGUCUUGUGCAGAUCGUUGAUUUACCCAAAGCAGAAAAGGUCUUAAAGUCCUUUUGAUUGUCCAAAUAGAAAGAAAUCACAGGUUUCCACUUUGAAAGGUUUCACCCUCACGUUAUAAAACCUCUCCACUACGCGCAGGAGAGGGCACCUUAUGGAGAUGAGAGUAUUUGUUCUGAGUGGCAUGCACCAGAUUCUCAGAGGGAGCUGGAAAGGUCCAGUGAUGGGGAGCAACCGCCGCAUCGAGGCAGAAUCGCCCCACAUGAGUGCCUCCAAUCAAAGAAGAGUCUCUUGAUUCUUUUGAGUCUGUGAAGGAGGAAAUGUCUUGAUAAUCUUGGUUGGAAUGUUCUUCCCUUUACCUGGCUGCAUUUCAUAGAUCAGUUACACUCUCUUUCCCUACCUUUGAAGACUUGGAUACGUUUUCCUCAUUGCAUUUUCCACGUCCACCCUUGCUCAUGGCCAUCGACUGCCAGAACCUAAGCUUUUUCCUGGCCGCAUUGGACCUAAUCUGGGUAGGAGCCCACGACUGAUAACCUGAUAAUUGUCAGAUGUGACAAGAGUGCCCAAGACGGAGGAUGUUUUCCUGGUCAGUGACAAGAUGGCCUUUGUCCUUCUUGUGCAUUUGAUCCACAUCUUUAACCAUUGUGCCCAGAGCUCCUGCUUCCUUUCAGAUGGAGGCUACUCAGUGGCAGGGCCUCCCUCCCAGGAGCCCGGGCUGCACUCAUCUCCACCGUGAGGCUGAAGACAAAAGUGCCGCAGAGCUCAGAGGCUGCUUUCUACAGAGGUUUCAUUUGCACAAAACUGAGUCUUGGUAUGUGGAUUGGUCUCAGUUGCAUUUUGUAUUUAUUUUCUCCCCCAAUACUUGUAAAUCCAGUGAUUGUAAAAUAAUAUGUGUGCCUCGUGUGGUGGUGGCCAUACAUUCCAGGAAGUUUGGAUUGCCUUCCAUGUGGAUUUCCAAGGUGCUCCUGAGUGCUUCCAGUGCUUUGCUCUAAAACACGAAGGUGACCUUUUGUUAGUGGUUCCUUGGUGGUGUGUUUUUGACUGACUUCAGUUCUCACAGUUUUAAUCAUAAUUCCAAGGAGACUAUGUUAUGCAAAUCUGUAUGGACUUUGAAAAUCUGACAUGGAGUGCCCCGUUUCAGCAGUAGUGAACAUUGAUUUUCAAAAGUGAAUGUUUUUAGAAACUCGGGCUAAACAACAAUCUGUGAUUAUUUUUGUUGGAAUAUCACCUAGGUAUUAUUAUAGCAGCUGUCCACUCUCAAUUUGUGUAUAUGUAAAUAUAUCUUUAUGUAAUAUUUUCAUCUAUAACGUUCAGACUUUUUUCUUAUAUUUUUUCUCAUUUUUCCAUACAGUGUGGAUGUAUUUUUGCAUAUAUUUCAAAGAAUGUAAUACAAAUUUUUAAAUAUAUAAAAGAAGACCUUGGCUUCCCAACCAUUUUUUUUUACUUAUGGCGAUCUUUAAAUGGCAGAGACUCAUUCAUUCAUAAUCCGAGAGAAGUGUGAUUCACAGGGAUUCUUUUAUCGUGUGAUACAUGAUAAAUACAUCCAAUAUUAUAUGUCAAUUUAAAAAGUCAUCAGUGUUCUGCCGGACCGUUUUCAACCCGGCCUGACUUUCCUGGAAUUCCCUGGAUGCUUGUUAUUGUUUCCCUGGGAAUUUGUUCACUUGGCAUUUUCUUCUGGAAAACUAGCCUUGGUUGCACUGAAAAUUUGGUAUUACCUGGGAGUUAAAAGCAACAUGAUAGCUGUGCCCCGGAUGUGUGAAGGCUUUGGAUCAGGAUCUCUGCCUGGUUCCUCACACAAUAACAGAGGAGAUGGCUGAAACGCUGCCUUCUGGGAGUUUAUAAACCAUGGUCGCUGCCUAUUUUCAGGAGGAAAUGCUCCUGGAGCUGAGAGGGCUGUGCUGCCCUGUGAGGCUCCCAUCCCCUUAGUUGCCAGCCCACCAUCUUCCCUGGGGACCACACGCUGUGCAAAUCCACCAUCCAUCCAUUACCGUCCAUUAUCAGAUGGAAGCUUUCCAGCCCCCUGGUGAGAAGCCAGAGAGCACUAAUGUCCACAUGGGGACAAAAUUAUUGACCAUGAACUGAGGAAAUGUAUUUUUUUUUGCUUCUUCCCACUUUGAUCGGAAUUACUAACUUGAUCAACAUGAAAUUAAAAUGAAACACUUGGGGAAGAAUCUCUUGAAGUCCAUUUUUUUAUCGCUGGGCUGAGACCAUAUUAUGCAGUCAAAAUGCCAGGUUAUUUCAAAUUAGUCAAAUUAACAAAUCUAACUCAGUCCUUGGCUAUAUUAUUCAUCUGUUUUAGGAUAUGAUGAGAGAAAGUGUGUGACUUUUUCAGCAAGUUACACAUUAGAAAAUCGAGACGAGAUGUCCAAGUUCACAGUCAUCUCAUCAUGAUCGAACAGAGGGAUAAUCACAGGAAAACAUUGUUGCUUCCCUGGAACACUGAAUUUCUAUGUAAUCAGGUAAAAUUAGGCCAUUUCAGUUGUCACCUGCCUACACAGGGUGUGGCUAUAGCUGUCAUUUAUAAAGAAGGGGCGGUGUGGAGGGGUAGAAGCCACUGGAGAGCAGCUGUGGCUGGUGCUUACUUCCGGGCUUCUGGCAGGGUCUGAGCUGGGUGCCAAGUGCAGCAGUGGAAAAUGGCCUGGACUCUGUGCCGAGGGCUCUGACCUCUUCCCCAGCUUGGCUAUCAUCUUGAGUCAACACCGCUGGGCCUCAGUUCCCCAGAGGGCUGUGCUGCCCUGUGAGGCUCCCAUCCCCGUAGUUGCCAGCCUGUUGCAGGUCCUGUUGGAAUUUGGAAUCAGGGACUGGAAAGGACUCAGGGGUUUAUACCGUUGCACUGAUUUACAAGAAGUGUUGACAGCUAGAAGGCGGAUCUAAGUUCAGGGACCCCACACAGCUGUGUGGAGACUCACCUCCUGGGGCCCUGAGCAGGGUCUCCCACUCCAGAGACUGUGGGAGUGCCGUGCCUCCCAGGGAGAUGGCUGCUCUAUCAUCUGGGUGCUCAGUCCCACCCUUGGAGACUCUCCUUGUGAUGUUUCAAACCAGCCCAGCAAUGGUCCUGGGUCCUGAAGAGUCUUUGUCAACAAUAGGCAACCCGUUUGGGAUAUUGGACUGCUCAGACCAGGCAGUUUCUUUCCAGAGGCAAUGUGGCUUUGUCCUCACUGAGCGUGGAAAGUCCAGCCCUGCCAUUCUUUAACUCGGCAACCUUGGGGAUGUUGCUGGCUGCUCUGAGCCUUGGGUCUCCAUUGGUUUCCUCAGUGAGAAUCAGCACAGACAACUGUAUUCAAGGCAUUUGGUAACCAGGAAAGGUGUAAAUAAAUAUCUGGCAUUAUUAUGACACCAGGGGCAAUUAUUUCUGCUGCAAAGAUGGAGAUGUUUAUUAACUUGGAUCACAGCUAGCUUUCUGAGAUUUUAUAAUCAUUGUAACUAUAUCACUUUUUAAAAUAUAUCAUUCCUUACUCAGCU